rnacentral:rRNA from 1 species
GAUGAACGCUGGCGGCGUGCCUAAUACAUGCAAGUCGAGCGAACGGACGAGGAGCUUGCUUCUCUGAUGUUAGCGGCGGACGGGUGAGUAACACGUGGAUAACCUACCUAUAAGACUGGGAUAACUUCGGGAAACCGGAGCUAAUACCGGAUAAUAUUUUGAACCGCAUGGUUCAAAAGUGAAAGACGGUCUUGCUGUCACUUAUAGAUGGAUCCGCGCUGCAUUAGCUAGUUGGUAAGGUAACGGCUUACCAAGGCAACGAUGCAUAGCCGACCUGAGAGGGUGAUCGGCCACACUGGAACUGAGACACGGUCCAGACUCCUACGGGAGGCAGCAGUAGGGAAUCUUCCGCAAUGGGCGAAAGCCUGACGGAGCAACGCCGCGUGAGUGAUGAAGGUCUUCGGGUCGUAAAACUCUGUUAUUAGGGAAGAACAUAUGUGUAAGUAACUGUGCACAUCUUGACGGUACCUAAUCAGAAAGCCACGGCUAACUACGUGCCAGCAGCCGCGGUAAUACGUAGGUGGCAAGCGUUAUCCGGAAUUAUUGGGCGUAAAGCGCGCGUAGGCGGUUUUUUAAGUCUGAUGUGAAAGCCCACGGCUCAACCGUGGAGGGUCAUUGGAAACUGGAAAACUUGAGUGCAGAAGAGGAAAGUGGAAUUCCAUGUGUAGCGGUGAAAUGCGCAGAGAUAUGGAGGAACACCAGUGGCGAAGGCGACUUUCUGGUCUGUAACUGACGCUGAUGUGCGAAAGCGUGGGGAUCAAACAGGAUUAGAUACCCUGGUAGUCCACGCCGUAAACGAUGAGUGCUAAGUGUUAGGGGGUUUCCGCCCCUUAGUGCUGCAGCUAACGCAUUAAGCACUCCGCCUGGGGAGUACGACCGCAAGGUUGAAACUCAAAGGAAUUGACGGGGACCCGCACAAGCGGUGGAGCAUGUGGUUUAAUUCGAAGCAACGCGAAGAACCUUACCAAAUCUUGACAUCCUUUGACAACUCUAGAGAUAGAGCUUUCCCCUUCGGGGGACAAAGUGACAGGUGGUGCAUGGUUGUCGUCAGCUCGUGUCGUGAGAUGUUGGGUUAAGUCCCGCAACGAGCGCAACCCUUAAGCUUAGUUGCCAUCAUUAAGUUGGGCACUCUAAGUUGACUGCCGGUGACAAACCGGAGGAAGGUGGGGAUGACGUCAAAUCAUCAUGCCCCUUAUGAUUUGGGCUACACACGUGCUACAAUGGACAAUACAAAGGGCAGCGAAACCGCGAGGUCAAGCAAAUCCCAUAAAGUUGUUCUCAGUUCGGAUUGUAGUCUGCAACUCGACUACAUGAAGCUGGAAUCGCUAGUAAUCGUAGAUCAGCAUGCUACGGUGAAUACGUUCCCGGGUCU